UGGGGAAUUUUGGACAAUGGGCGAAAGCCUGAUCCAGCAAUGCCGCGUGUGUGAAGAAGGCCUUCGGGUUGUAAAGCACUUUUGUCCGGAAAGAAAUCCUUGGACUCUAAUACAGUCGGGGGAUGACGGUACCGGAAGAAUAAGCACCGGCUAACUACGUGCCAGCAGCCGCGGUAAUACGUAGGGUGCAAGCGUUAAUCGGAAUUACUGGGCGUAAAGCGUGCGCAGGCGGUUUGCUAAGACCGAUGUGAAAUCCCGGGCUCAACCUGGGAACUGCAUUGGUGACUGGCAGGCUAGAGUAUGGCAGAGGGGGGUAGAAUUCCACGUGUAGCAGUGAAAUGCGUAGAGAUGUGGAGGAAUACGAUGGCGAAGGCAGCCCCCUGGGCCAAUACUGACGCUCAUGCACGAAAGCGUGGGGAGCAAACAGGAUUAGAUACCCU
rnacentral:rRNA from 1 species